rnacentral:rRNA from 1 species
UACGAAGGGGGCUAGCGUUGCUCGGAAUCACUGGGCGUAAAGCGCACGUAGGCGGGUCCUUAAGUCAGGGGUGAAAUCCCGGAGCUCAACUCCGGAACUGCCUUUGAUACUGGGGAGCUUGAGUCCGGAAGAGGUGAGUGGAACUCCGAGUGUAGAGGUGAAAUUCGUAGAUAUUCGGAAGAACACCAGUGGCGAAGGCGGCACCCUGGACCGACACUGACGCUGAGGAGCGAAAGCCAGGGGAGCAAACGGG